UUUAUGGAGAGUUUGAUCCUGGCUCAGGAUGAACGCUGGCGGCGUGCCUAAUACAUGCAAGUCGAGCGAACGGACGAGAAGCUUGCUUCUCUGAUGUUAGCGGCGGACGGGUGAGUAACACGUGGAUAACCUACCUAUAAGACUGGGAUAACUUCGGGAAACCGUAGCUAAUACCGGAUAAUAUUUUGAACCGCAUGGUUCAAAAGUGAAAGACGGUCUUGCUGUCACUUAUAGAUGGAUCCGCGCUGCAUUAGCUAGUUGGUAAGGUAACGGCUUACCAAGGCAACGAUGCAUAGCCGACCUGAGAGGGUGAUCGGCCACACUGGAACUGAGACACGGUCCAGACUCCUACGGGAGGCAGCAGUAGGGAAUCUUCCGCAAUGGGCGAAAGCCUGACGGAGCAACGCCGCGUGAGUGAUGAAGGUCUUCGGAUCGUAAAACUCUGUUAUUAGGGAAGAACAUAUGUGUAAGUAACUGUGCACAUCUUGACGGUACCUAAUCAGAAAGCCACGGCUAACUACGUGCCAGCAGCCGCGGUAAUACGUAGGUGGCAAGCGUUAUCCGGAAUUAUUGGGCGUAAAGCGCGCGUAGGCGGUUUUUUAAGUCUGAUGUGAAAGCCCACGGCUCAACCGUGGAGGGUCAUUGGAAACUGGAAAACUUGAGUGCAGAAGAGGAAAGUGGAAUUCCAUGUGUAGCGGUGAAAUGCGCAGAGAUAUGGAGGAACACCAGUGGCGAAGGCGACUUUCUGGUCUGUAACUGACGCUGAUGUGCGAAAGCGUGGGGAUCAAACAGGAUUAGAUACCCUGGUAGUCCACGCCGUAAACGAUGAGUGCUAAGUGUUAGGGGGUUUCCCGCCCCUUAGUGCUGCAGCUAACGCAUUAAGCACUCCGCCUGGGGAGUACGACCGCAAGGUUGAAACUCAAAGGAAUUGACGGGGACCCGCACAAGCGGUGGAGCAUGUGGUUUAAUUCGAAGCAACGCGAAGAACCUUACCAAAUCUUGACAUCCUUUGACAACUCUAGAGAUAGAGCCUUCCCCUUCGGGGGACAAAGUGACAGGUGGUGCAUGGUUGUCGUCAGCUCGUGUCGUGAGAUGUUGGGUUAAGUCCCGCAACGAGCGCAACCCUUAAGCUUAGUUGCCAUCAUUAAGUUGGGCACUCUAAGUUGACUGCCGGUGACAAACCGGAGGAAGGUGGGGAUGACGUCAAAUCAUCAUGCCCCUUAUGAUUUGGGCUACACACGUGCUACAAUGGACAAUACAAAGGGCAGCGAAACCGCGAGGUCAAGCAAAUCCCAUAAAGUUGUUCUCAGUUCGGAUUGUAGUCUGCAACUCGACUACAUGAAGCUGGAAUCGCUAGUAAUCGUAGAUCAGCAUGCUACGGUGAAUACGUUCCCGGGUCUUGUACACACCGCCCGUCACACCACGAGAGUUUGUAACACCCGAAGCCGGUGGAGUAACCUUUUAGGAGCUAGCCGUCGAAGGUGGGACAAAUGAUUGGGGUGAAGUCGUAACAAGGUAGCCGUAUCGGAAGGUGCGGCUGGAUCACCUCCUUU
rfam:Staphylococcus aureus subsp. aureus NCTC 8325, complete genome.